AUGGCCGCGGCCUGUACGCAAGAAAGCAAUGCCAUCUACAUGCUGUGGAACAACGUGGUCUACGAAUACAAGCUCGCACCGGCAGAUGAAGAGCGAAGGCUCAAGCUGCAUCUGCCUGCGAGGAUUGACUCCGUUUGUCCUUUCAUUGUAAUGCAAGGAGAUGGCUUCCUCGCCCAUCUGGGCUCGGGGCUCAUGUGCUCUGUCUGGAUCAGCCUCGAUCUCUCAUGCGGGUGUGACCACCUACAUGCCUUUGUCACCACCUUCCACAUUGCUCCCCUGCCCUGGGAUGUCAAGGUCCUGCACUCCACCUUCCGCCAGCUCGACAUGUUGCCCAUGAAACACAUCCAUGAAUUUCAAUUAUGCUUUGUGCAAGAGUAUAUGGAUGACAAGGUGCUGCUGCCUCAACUCCAUGAAGAGCAAGUGCUUGAUGAUCCUUGCAGGCAUUUUCUCCCACCAAGUCCUCCUAGGUACGUGAAGCCACCACGUAUCCAUAUUGACAAGGAUCACUUGUUUAUUAUCUGCCAAGGUGGUUCACAAUCAUUUAUCUAUAAAACCAGUCUGGAUGAGAUUCCAGGGUUAGAAUUCGAAAGCGCACCUCCUCUCAAACCACAUUACAUUGUACAUGGAGAUGAUCAUGGGCACAGGCAUUUUUUCGGAGUAGCUCAAAACUAUGUGCUGUCUCAUUCCUAA
rnacentral:rRNA from 1 species